GCGAGCGUAGCUUAAUGGUAAAGCCUCUGCCUUCCAAGCAGAUGACGCGGGUUCGAUUCCCGUCGCUCGCU
rnacentral:tRNA from 1 species